AAGACCCCCAAGACCCAUGCCUGAAUCAUCUGUGUUCUCCAUAGCCUCUGCCAAGCCAGGUCUGAACUAGGACAAGGGCUCAGGUUUUCUCCAAAUUCUCCAAAUUAUUAUCUGAUAUUGAACUGAUUUUAUUAAGAAGAGUGAAGUGAUAGUUCAACUCUACUCAGACAGAAGACAUGUACUUCCAAGAAGACGGAGUUUGCAAAGAUCACAUUAGCACAUAUUCUGUCCAUAGAUUUUCUACUGUGAUUUAGUUGGAUAAGCUUAUGCUACACAUUAGUGUAAUAAGACUAAAAUUAUUGAUUUGUAUGAAAUGUAAAUUAAGUUUUAAAUCUUUAUCAUUGGAAAUGGGUGGUUUAUAUUUUUGUUUUUUUCUUAGUUCAGGACCACUUGAAUCCCCCCAGGAAUCCACUGCAAUUGUUAUAUUCCAUUGUCAGUGAGUGAGAAAGAAAAGAAGGAGGAUGGGUAAGAAAGGGCUUGGAGAGUCUGGGAGCCUAUGUGAGUCUGUGUGCAAAGCAUAUUAACUCUGACUCUGCCCAAAGCUUACAGAGAAGAUAUUCAGGUAUAUAAUAAUACUUUAUCUAGCUAUGGGAUAUAUGGGAGCCAGUAUGUUAUAGUGGUUAAGAAUACAAACUCUAGCAUCACAUAUGGGUUCAAAUCUUCCCUUCAGCUCUUACAAUCUAUGUGGGUUGGACAGGUUAACUAAUUUUCCUCCGCGUCAGUUUCCUUAGUUUAAAAUAAGCAUUUUAAUGGUCUCUAAUGUAGAGGCAAUAAUGCUGAUAGAAGCCUCUUAUAGUAAGCACAUGAUAGUAAUUUAUAUUCCCUUUCAAGUGUUGGAUACCGGAAUGCAGUUAUUCAGAAAUGAUCAUCAUUGAGUUGAUUCAUUAUUGUAAAUGAGUUCAGCUUCUCUCUGACCACCUGAUUUUGUUACCAGUCCAAAUUGAUUAUAAUCACCUUUGCAAUUGUGGCUUACUC
rnacentral:lncRNA from 10 species